rnacentral:lncRNA from 1 species
UCAGUAACUGAACAGCUACACCAGAUAUAGAAUCCUGCCUAGUACUCCUGUCUCUCAGGCAGGACCGUAAAACACUGCAAACAGGAGGAAGCAGGAAGAAGUCACCCAUGAAGUCCUUGCCCCUGAUAAAAAACAAAACUCAUCCGGCCUCUGAAGUCAUAAUAGUUCUUGCAGCUUGGAGUGUGCCGCCAUCCUCCCCAAACACAUCUCGACUCUGAAAGUGACCCUAUGAAGGCUAUGACUGCUAAGCAGCAGGCAGAACAGGUGGGUGCAUUUGCUAUGUUGAACAGCAGCAUUCCGGGAGGAUAAUGUAAAUUCUACUUAAGCCAAACUGCUACUGGGGGCUGGGCUCAAGUCAUGCCCUCAGGUUGCAGAAAGGGGAUGAUGGAUGCUGGCCUUGCAGUUCUCUGCGCUUGCUGGAUGAUACAUGGAGCAGUGGUGUUGGCCUCUGAGGGUGGCUGCCCAGUCGUUGGCUGGAGCAGGGGUACAAAGCAGCACAGCACAGUGUUGGCUAAGGUUCCGCAGUAAGACUACCUGAGUUCCAGUCCCAUUAGGCUUGCUACCAUUUAGCUAUGAGAAUUUACUUCACUUCUUUCUGUCUCCAUUUCUUUAUCUGUAAAAUGCAGAUGAUAAUAGCACUUACCUCAUAGGGUCCAUCGUUAGGAUUAAGUGAGCUAAUGUGAGUAAAGUACUCAGUACCUGGCGUAUAGUAAGAACUAAACUUCACUAUAAUA